GAGCCCGUGGUCUAGCGGUUAUGACGGCUCGUUGACGUCGAGCAAGUCGCCAGUUCGAACCUGGCCGGGCUCA
rnacentral:tRNA from 1 species